rnacentral:sRNA from 1 species
UCAACAGGAGAAAGACGCCGUAUUCAAAC